rnacentral:rRNA from 1 species
AUGGGAUUGCAGCCGCCGCCGCCGUUUCACUUCGGCCAUCUCAUCACCAUCAAGUUGUCGUCGGACAAUUACAUCUUCUGGCGCGCGCAGGUUCUUCCGCUUCUUGGGAGUCACUAUCUGCUUGGCUAUGUCGACGGCUCUCUCCCUUGCCCUCCUGCGCUGGUUGACAGCGUGCACGGUCCGGUCUAUAAUCCGGCUCACCGUGUCUGGACAGGGCAGGAUCAGGCGAACCUCUCCUCCAUCCAGGGGUCGCUCUCUCCGGCCGUUGCUGGGCUUGUUGUCUUCGCCAAGACGUCUCACGAGGCAUGGACUAUUCUUGAGCGCUCGUUUGCGGCACAGUCGCAGGCUCGUGUAUCUGGGCUCCGUCGCCAACUUGGGGAGUGUCAGAAGCUUGACUCCACCGCCACUGAGUUCUACAACAAAGUCAAGAGUCUCGCCGACACGCUGGCCUCCAUUGGACAGCCCCUCACCGACUCCGAGUUCAACUCGUUUAUUGUCAAUGGUCUUGAUGAGGAGUAUGACGCCCUAGUCGAGAUCAUCAAUGAGAGAGGCAACUCCACGCCCAUGCCAGCACACGAGGUCUUUUCACGCCUCCUGCUUACUGAGCAACGAGUCGAGACGCGCCGAUCCAGGGGCAACGGCGCCCUCUCGGCAAACGCCGCCACCAAGGGUGGUCGCUCCUCUGCUUCAUCCAGGGCUCCUUCGGGGCAGUCACCACCACCCGCCUCGGCCCCUCCUCCUACUGCGACGCUACCAGGGGCUGGCGGUCCACGUGUGUGCCAGCUUUGUGGUCGCGAUGGGCAUUGGGCCUCGAAGUGUCACAAGCGCUUCCAGCGGGGUUUUCUUGGUCUCGGCAAUGACGGGAAGGAUACACGCAACUUUGCUCGUCAGGUCGCCAUGGCUGAUCGUCCGCCGCCGCAGAAGCCACAGGGACACACUCAGUCCUACUCCAUUGAUCCCCACUGGUACAUGGACUCUGGGGCGACAGAGCACCUGACCAGUGAGAUGGGGAAGCUUCACACUCGUGAACCCUACCAUGGCUCCGACAAGAUCCACACCGCCAAUGGAGCAGGAUCGGGGCACGAGGGACAUUCUUCUUAG